ACAUGCAAGUCGACUGGAAUUCUUCUUCGGAAGAUAGUACGGUGGCGGACGGGUGAGUAACGCGUAAAGAAUUUGCCCUUCAGACUGGGACAACUAAUCGAAAGGUUAGCUAAUACCGGAUAUUAUGAGACCUUGGCAUCAAGGACUUAUGAAAGCUAUAUGCGCUGGAGGAGAACUUUGCGUUCCAUUAGCUAGUUGGUAGGGUAAUGGCCUACCAAGGCAACGAUGGAUAGCCGGCCUGAGAGGGUGAACGGCCACAAGGGGACUGAGACACGGCCCUUACUCCUACGGGAGGCAGCAGUGGGGAAUAUUGGACAAUGGACCAAAAGUCUGAUCCAGCAAUUCUGUGUGCACGAUGAAGGUCUUCGGAUUGUAAAGUGCUUUCAGGUGGGAAGAAGAAAGUGACGGUACCACCAGAAGAAGCGACGGCUAAAUACGUGCCAGCAGCCGCGGUAAUACGUAUGUCGCA
rnacentral:rRNA from 1 species